CCUACGGGCUGCACCAGUGGGGAAUAUUGGACAAUGGGGGCAACCCUGAUCCAGCAAUGCCGCGUGUGUGAAGAAGGCCUGAGGGUUGUAAAGCACUUUCAGUGGGGAGGAGGGUGAUUUGGUUAAGAGCUGAGUUAUUGGACGUUACCCACAGAAGAAGCACCGGCUAACUCCGUGCCAGCAGCCGCGGUAAUACGGAGGGUGCGAGCGUUAAUCGGAAUUACUGGGCGUAAAGCGUGCGUAGGUGGUUGAAUAAGUUAUCUGUGAAAUUCCUGGGCUUAACCUAGGGUGGUCAGAUGAUACUGUUUAACUCGAGUAUGGGAGAGGGUAGUGGAAUUUCCGGUGUAGCGGUGAAAUGCGUAGAGAUCGGAAGGAACACCAGUGGCGAAGGCGGCUACCUGGCCUAAUACUGACACUGAGGCGCGAAAGCGUGGGGAGCAAACAGGAUUAGAUACCCUGGUAGUC
rnacentral:rRNA from 1 species